rnacentral:rRNA from 1 species
CUGUGUGAAUUGCAGAAUCCCGUGAACCAUCGAGUCUUUGAACGCAAGUUGCGCCCGAAGCCAUUAGGCCAGGGCACGUCUGCCUGGGCGUCA